rfam:Triticum aestivum genome assembly, contig: Triticum_aestivum_CS42_TGACv1_scaffold_032265_1BL
GUCGUUGUAGUAUAGUGGUAAGUAUUCCCGCCUGUCACCCGGGUGACCCGGGUUCGAACCCCGGCAACGGCG